GAAACAAAUUCAGAGACAUCUGAUAAAAUUGGAAUAAUACAAAGAAGAUUAGCAUGACCCCUGCAUAAGAAUGAUGCGCGUAAAUUUAGAAAUGGUCUAAAAUUUU